UGUCGCUUAGACUUUUAUAUACAUAGAUUGGAAUGAUACAGAGAAGAUUAGACUGGCCCUUGCAAAAAGAUGACUCCCAAACUUGUGAAGUGUUCCCUUUUUUU